GUUAAGCGACUAAGCGUACACGGUGGAUGCCCUGGCAGUCAGAGGCGAUGAAGGACGUGCUAAUCUGCGAUAAGCGUCGGUAAGGUGAUAUGAACCGUUAUAACCGGCGAUUUCCGAAUGGGGAAACCCAGUGUGAUCCGUCACACUAUCAUUAACUGAAUCCAUAGGUUAAUGAGGCGAACCGGGGGAACUGAAACAUCUAAGUACCCCGAGGAAAAGAAAUCAACCGAGAUUCCCCCAGUAGCGGCGAGCGAACGGGGAGGAGCCCAGAGCCUGAAUCAGUAUGUGUGUUAGUGGAAGCGUCUGGAAAGGCGUGCGAUACAGGGUGACAGCCCCGUACACAAAAAUGCACAUGCUGUGAGCUCGAUGAGUAGGGCGGGACACGUGGUAUCCUGUCUGAAUAUGGGGGGACCAUCCUCCAAGGCUAAAUACUCCUGACUGACCGAUAGUGAACCAGUACCGUGAGGGAAAGGCGAAAAGAACCCCGGCGAGGGGAGUGAAAAAGAACCUGAAACCGUGUACGUACAAGCAGUGGGAGCCUCUUUAUGGGGUGACUGCGUACCUUUUGUAUAAUGGGUCAGCGACUUAUAUUCUGUAGCAAGGUUAACCGAAUAGGGGAGCCGAAGGGAAACCGAGUCUUAACUGGGCGUUAAGUUGCAGGGUAUAGACCCGAAACCCGGUGAUCUAGCCAUGGGCAGGUUGAAGGUUGGGUAACACUAACUGGAGGACCGAACCGACUAAUGUUGAAAAAUUAGCGGAUGACUUGUGGCUGGGGGUGAAAGGCCAAUCAAACCGGGAGAUAGCUGGUUCUCCCCGAAAGCUAUUUAGGUAGCGCCUCGUGAAUUCAUCUCCGGGGGUAGAGCACUGUUUCGGCAAGGGGGUCAUCCCGACUUACCAACCCGAUGCAAACUGCGAAUACCGGAGAAUGUUAUCACGGGAGACACACGGCGGGUGCUAACGUCCGUCGUGAAGAGGGAAACAACCCAGACCGCCAGCUAAGGUCCCAAAGUCAUGGUUAAGUGGGAAACGAUGUGGGAAGGCCCAGACAGCCAGGAUGUUGGCUUAGAAGCAGCCAUCAUUUAAAGAAAGCGUAAUAGCUCACUGGUCGAGUCGGCCUGCGCGGAAGAUGUAACGGGGCUAAACCAUGCACCGAAGCUGCGGCAGCGACACUAUGUGUUGUUGGGUAGGGGAGCGUUCUGUAAGCCGUUGAAGGUGUGCUGUGAGGCAUGCUGGAGGUAUCAGAAGUGCGAAUGCUGACAUAAGUAACGAUAAAGCGGGUGAAAAGCCCGCUCGCCGGAAGACCAAGGGUUCCUGUCCAACGUUAAUCGGGGCAGGGUGAGUCGACCCCUAAGGCGAGGCCGAAAGGCGUAGUCGAUGGGAAACAGGUUAAUAUUCCUGUACUUGGUGUUACUGCGAAGGGGGGACGGAGAAGGCUAUGUUGGCCGGGCGACGGUUGUCCCGGUUUAAGCGUGUAGGCUGAUUUUCCAGGCAAAUCCGGAGAAUCAAGGCUGAGGCGUGAUGACGAGGCACUACGGUGCUGAAGCAACAAAUGCCCUGCUUCCAGGAAAAGCCUCUAAGCAUCAGGUAACAUCAAAUCGUACCCCAAACCGACACAGGUGGUCAGGUAGAGAAUACCAAGGCGCUUGAGAGAACUCGGGUGAAGGAACUAGGCAAAAUGGUGCCGUAACUUCGGGAGAAGGCACGCUGAUAUGUAGGUGAAGCGACUUGCUCGUGGAGCUGAAAUCAGUCGAAGAUACCAGCUGGCUGCAACUGUUUAUUAAAAACACAGCACUGUGCAAACACGAAAGUGGACGUAUACGGUGUGACGCCUGCCCGGUGCCGGAAGGUUAAUUGAUGGGGUCAGCCGCAAGGCGAAGCUCUUGAUCGAAGCCCCGGUAAACGGCGGCCGUAACUAUAACGGUCCUAAGGUAGCGAAAUUCCUUGUCGGGUAAGUUCCGACCUGCACGAAUGGCGUAAUGAUGGCCAGGCUGUCUCCACCCGAGACUCAGUGAAAUUGAACUCGCUGUGAAGAUGCAGUGUACCCGCGGCAAGACGGAAAGACCCCGUGAACCUUUACUAUAGCUUGACACUGAACAUUGAGCCUUGAUGUGUAGGAUAGGUGGGAGGCUUUGAAGUGUGGACGCCAGUCUGCAUGGAGCCGACCUUGAAAUACCACCCUUUAAUGUUUGAUGUUCUAACGUGGACCCGUGAUCCGGGUUGCGGACAGUGUCUGGUGGGUAGUUUGACUGGGGCGGUCUCCUCCUAAAGAGUAACGGAGGAGCACGAAGGUUGGCUAAUCCUGGUCGGACAUCAGGAGGUUAGUGCAAUGGCAUAAGCCAGCUUGACUGCGAGCGUGACGGCGCGAGCAGGUGCGAAAGCAGGUCAUAGUGAUCCGGUGGUUCUGAAUGGAAGGGCCAUCGCUCAACGGAUAAAAGGUACUCCGGGGAUAACAGGCUGAUACCGCCCAAGAGUUCAUAUCGACGGCGGUGUUUGGCACCUCGAUGUCGGCUCAUCACAUCCUGGGGCUGAAGUAGGUCCCAAGGGUAUGGCUGUUCGCCAUUUAAAGUGGUACGCGAGCUGGGUUUAGAACGUCGUGAGACAGUUCGGUCCCUAUCUGCCGUGGGCGCUGGAGAACUGAGGGGGGCUGCUCCUAGUACGAGAGGACCGGAGUGGACGCAUCACUGGUGUUCGGGUUGUCAUGCCAAUGGCACUGCCCGGUAGCUAAAUGCGGAAGAGAUAAGUGCUGAAAGCAUCUAAGCACGAAACUUGCCCCGAGAUGAGUUCUCCCUGAGACUUUAAGUCUCCUGAAGGAACGUUGAAGACGACGACGUUGAUAGGCCGGGUGUGUAAGCGCAGCGAUGCGUUGAGCUAACCGGUACUAAUGAACCGUGAGGCUUAACC
rnacentral:rRNA from 1 species